rnacentral:rRNA from 1 species
CCUACGGGGGGCUGCAGUGGGGAAUAUUGGACAAUGGGGGGAACCCUGAUCCAGCCAUGCCGCGUGUGUGAAGAAGGCCCUCGGGUUGUAAAGCACUUUCAGUGAGGAAGAACGCCUGGUGGUUAAUACCCAUCAGGAAAGACAUCACUCACAGAAGAAGCACCGGCUAACUCCGUGCCAGCAGCCGCGGUAAUACGGAGGGUGCGAGGGUUAAUCGGAAUUACUGGGCGUAAAGCGCGCGUAGGUGGCUUGAUAAGCCGGUUGUGAAAGCCCCGGGCUCAACCUGGGAACGGCAUCCGGAACUGUCAAGCUAGAGUGCAGGAGAGGAAGGUAGAAUUCCCGGUGUAGCGGUGAAAUGCGUAGAGAUCGGGAGGAAUACCAGCGGCGAAGGCGGCCUUCUGGACUGACACUGACACUGAGGUGCGAAAGCGUGGGUAGCAAACAGGAUUAGAUACCCGUGUAGUC